GCUGUGCUCUUCCAUUUGAGUAGCUGUGUGCUGGGAAGCUGAUCUAUUUUACUGUACUACGUUGGCAGGUUAGGCACUAUCCUUCAUUUUGCUUUUGGAGGUGAUGCUGGUUCCCAUCCUCUGCUGAUGUGAGAGCUGUGGGGAUAGCCAGGGCUGAGAAGCCUUGAUGUGCUGCUAGCAGAUUUAUGCCUCGUUGAAACCCACCUCUUAUUGCCUCUGAGCUGAUUGGGGGAAAGGAGACUUGUUCGCUGGAAAAGAAACCCACUGCAAUGUGCCAUGCAUGCCAAGUCAGGGUGGGAGCUUGAAAGAAGAAUUUGGAAUCCUGACCUCUUUUCCUCAUCCGCUGCUUAUCUUCUGUCACUGAGUCAGCUGGGACAGGAAGCUUCAUACACUUUGGGUCAGAUGCUCUUUCCCUGAAGAGGAGGAGGAUAUUUAUAGCCGGGAGCUGGCAGAGCUAAUGACUCUGGAAGUGCCUUGGGACAGUAUACAGCCCGAGGAAGCGGCUCGGAGGCAUCUUGAAGACUUGGAUCUGGUUUCUGGCCUCGCAGAAUGAAAAUCCGGAGACUGUGCUCACAUUUCUAUGGCUGGGGGUGAUCUUCGUUCUGUGGCAGGAGCCUGGAGCCCCUGUAUUGAUCUGCUCUGGUUUAUGAAGCCACCGACUAUUGGAAAAAAGAGUUUAUAAAUAACUACAGGCUUCCAUAUCACAAACGUUCCAGCAGGGCUGCUUUUGUUUAUCGCACAACACACAUUUUUGGAACUUUUUCUUCGCUGGGAGAUUGCAAGGGAGCUUGGAGUGCCAGUGUGGCUGCUGCAUUGUACUGUAUUGUACUGCGCAAAUGGCGUUUCCCCCCUUGGGACGGAGAGGUUUCUAGGUUUGUUUUUGUAGAUAAGAUAUAAACUCUGCAGUGGUUCUGCUAAUAAA